UAGGGAAUCUUCCACAAUGGACGCAAGUCUGAUGGAGCAACGCCGCGUGAGUGAAGAAGGUUUUCGGACCGUAAAGCUCUGUUGUUGGUGAAGAAGGAUAGAGGUAGUAACUGGCCUUUAUUUGACGGUAAUCAACCAGAAAGUCACGGCUAACUACGUGCCAGCAGCCGCGGUAAUACGUAGGUGGCAAGCGUUGUCCGGAUUUAUUGGGCGUAAAGCGAGCGCAGGCGGAAGAAUAAGUCUGAUGUGAAAGCCCUCGGCUUAACCGAGGAAUUGCAUCGGAAACUGUUUUUCUUGAGUGCAGAAGAGGAGAGUAGAACUCCAUGUGUAGCGGUGGAAUGCGUAGAUAUAUGGAAGAAUACCAGUGGCGAAGGCGGCUCUCUGGUCUGCAACUGACGCUGAGGCUCGAAAGCAUGGGUAGCGAACAGGAUUAGAUACCCUGGUAGUCCAUGCC
rnacentral:rRNA from 1 species